GCCGGGCGUGGUAGCGCAUGCCUGUAAUCCCAGCUACUGGGGAGGCUGAGGCAGGAGAAUCGUUUGAACCUGGGAAGCAGAGGUUGCAGUGAGCUGAGAUCGUGCCACUGCAUUCCAGCCUGGGUGACAGAGCAAGACUCUGUCUCCA
rnacentral:SRP_RNA from 1 species